rnacentral:rRNA from 1 species
CUGAAUUUAGCGGCGGACGGGUGAGUAAUACUUAGGAAUCUGCCUAUUAGUGGGGGACAACAUUUCGAAAGGAAUGCUAAUACCGCAUACGCCCUACGGGGGAAAGCAGGGGCUCUUCGGACCUUGCGCUAAUAGAUGAGCCUAAGUCAGAUUAGCUAGUUGGUGGGGUAAAGGCCUACCAAGGCGACGAUCUGUAACGGGUCUGAGAGGAUGAUCCGUCACACUGGGACUGAGACACGGCCCAGACUCCUACGGGAGGCAGCAGUGGGGAAUAUUGGACAAUGGGGGGAACCCUGAUCCAGCCAUGCCGCGUGUGUGAAGAAGGCCUUUUGGUUGUAAAGCACUUUAAGCGAGGAGGAGGCUCCUAUAGAUAAUACCUAUAGAGAGUGGACGUUACUCGCAGAAUAAGCACCGGCUAACUCUGUGCCAGCAGCCGCGGUAAUACAGAGGGUGCAAGCGUUAAUCGGAUUUACUGGGCGUAAAGCGUACGUAGGUGGUCUUUUAAGUCGGAUGUGAAAUCCCUGAGCUUAACUUAGGA